UGCCAGCCGCCGCGGUAAGACGGAGGGUGCAAGCGUUGUUCGGAAUUAUUGGGCGUAAAGCGCGUGUAGGCGGUUCGUUAAGUCUGAUGUGAAAGCCCGGGGCUCAACCCCGGAAGUGCAUUGGAAACUGGCGAACUUGAGUACGGGAGAGGAAAGUGGAAUUCCGAGUGUAGAGGUGAAAUUCGUAGAUAUUGGGUAGAACACCGGUGGCGAAGGCGGUCACCUGGCGCAGCACUGACGCUGAGGCGCGAAAGCGUGGGGAGCAAACAGGAUUAGAUA
rnacentral:rRNA from 1 species